CUUAUAAAAUAAGACCUCUUAAAUGGAAGGUGUCAAAUUAAGAAAUAAUAUACAUUUGACUACACCUCAACUGAAGUCAAUUAGAUGUAAAAAUUAAAGACUGUGGAUUCUUUUCCUGUUACUGGAAGUGACGCUUGACACUCCACUUAUCAAUAUGCAUGGAGUCAUGUUUUGUACUCUGUGGGGUGCACAUACCUAACUAUGGAAACAAUGGACAGGGCAAGGUUUGUUUCCUGGAUUUAGAGUUAAGGUCACCUUGGAAACCUUCAGUUUACAAGUCGUCACCAAAUCUUCCCAGAGCAUCAAAUUCAGCCUGAUAGAAGAUUACAGGCAAGAGGAGACUUGAAGAUAGCC